rnacentral:rRNA from 1 species
AACGAACGCUGGCGGCAUGCCUAANACAUGCAAGUCGAACGAAGCCUUCGGGCUUAGUGGCGCACGGGUGCGUAACGCGUGGGAACCUACCAUCAGGUUCGGAAUAACAGUUAGAAAUGACUGCUAAUACCGGAUAAUGUCUUCGGACCAAAGAUUUAUCGCCUUUUGAUGGGCCCGCGUUGGAUUAGCUAGUUGGUGGGGUAAAGGCCUACCAAGGCGACGAUCCAUAGCUGGUCUGAGAGGAUGAUCAGCCACACUGGGACUGAGACACGGCCCAGACUCCUACGGGAGGCAGCAGUGGGGAAUAUUGGACAAUGGGCGAAAGCCUGAUCCAGCAAUGCCGCGUGAGUGAUGAAGGCCUUAGGGUUGUAAAGCUCUUUUACCAGGGAUGAUAAUGACAGUACCUGGAGAAUAAGCUCCGGCUAACUCCGUG